rnacentral:rRNA from 1 species
GUGAACGCUGGCGGUAGGCCUAACACAUGCCAGUCGAACGGCAGCACAGUAAGAGCUUGCUCUUACGGGUGGCGAGUGGCGGACGGGUGAGGAAUACAUCGGAAUCUACUUUUUCGUGGGGGAUAACGUAGGGAAACUUACGCUAAUACCGCAUACGACCUACGGGUGAAAGCAGGGGAUCUUCGGACCUUGCGCGAUUGAAUGAGCCGAUGUCGGAUUAGCUAGUUGGCGGGGUAAAGGCCCACCAAGGCGACGAUCCGUAGCUGGUCUGAGAGGAUGAUCAGCCACACUGGAACUGAGACACGGUCCAGACUCCUACGGGAGGCAGCAGUGGGGAAUAUUGGACAAUGGGCGCAAGCCUGAUCCAGCCAUACCGCGUGGGUGAAGAAGGCCUUCGGGUUGUAAAGCCCUUUUGUUGGGAAAGAAAAGCAGCAGGUUAAUACCCCGCUGUUCUGACGGUACCCAAAGAAUAAGCACCGGCUAACUUCGUG